UGAACGCUGGCGGCGUGCUUAACACAUGCAAGUCGAACGAACCUUCGGGUUAGUGGCGGACGGGUGAGUAACGCGUGGGAAUCUGCCCUCAGGAGGGGGAUAACGGCUGGAAACGGCCGCUAAUACCCCAUAUGCCGAGAGGUGAAAUGAAUUUCGCCUGAGGAUGAGCCCGCGUCUGAUUAGCUAGUUGGUGGGGUAAAGGCCUACCAAGGCGACGAUCAGUAGCUGGUCUGAGAGGAUGAUCAGCCACACUGGGACUGAGACACGGCCCAGACUCCUACGGGAGGCAGCAGUGGGGAAUUUUCCGCAAUGGGCGAAAGCCUGACGGAGCAACGCCGCGUGAGGGAUGAAGGCCUCUGGGCUGUAAACCUCUUUUCUCAAGGAAGAAGAUCCGACGGUACUUGAGGAAUAAGCCACGGCUAAUUCCGUGCCAGCAGCCGCGGUAAUCUGAUGGCGCGAGG
rnacentral:rRNA from 1 species